GAGGAGUUUGGCUGUGCACGUGGAAGGAUUAACGCAGAGGCUAAUUGACAAAAAUCAACCUGCACGCGAGCGGAGUUUUUCGUACUUUCCGGCCUCCGCGAGGACUAAAGAGGAGGACAUUGUGACUGUGACAGUGUUCCUCUGUCACCGCAGAGUGGACUACUAAAUUCAGCAGACCAUGAGGCAGCUGAGGAACAGGAGCAGCA